UCCGCACCACCAUCGCGCCGCGCGCCUCUCCCUACCGCGAAAAAUCGCCGCGCAUCCCCUCCAUCGUCGCACCUCCCCAACAUCGCCGCGCCAGCGCCCACCAUCGUCACUGCCGCCCAUCGCUCUCCACUGCGCCCCCUCGCCGCCUGCCGACGUUGUCCCCCCUCCCCCCCCCCCCCCCGCCUUUCCUCCUUCCGCCCACCUGCCACCGACGCCGCCACCCCAGGCAGUGACUCCUCCUCGCCGACGCCGACACUGAAUCCCCCGCCGACAACGCCACCGCCGUUGACGCCUACUCCUGUGGCAAUCUGGAAUUUUUUUCUUCGCCGCCUCUCCGACGACUACCUGCCACCGCCGCCUCAACCGACAUCGCCGAUCCGGUCUCCCGUCGCUGUCCCUCGGCCGCUGAAGUCUCCUCGGACUCCAUCUCAACCGGCAUCACUGCCGCCGCCGCCGUCCCUCCGCUACCAAAAUCGUCACGCAUCGCCGGUCUCCUCCGACAAACUGCUUCGGCGACCUCCUCCUCGGCCUCCGCCUCAACCGCUGCCGAUAUGGAGCCACGCCGUCGUUCCUCCGCCGCCGAAAGGUAUCUUGAACCAAAACAUUCAGACUGAAGCACCUCAUGUGUUUUGUGAUCUUGAACCAAAACAUUCAGCCUGA
rnacentral:lncRNA from 1 species